CAGUCGCCGCGGUAAUACGUAGGGUGCGAGCGUUAAUCGGAAUUACUGGGCGUAAAGCGUGCGCAGGCGGUUCGUUAAGACAGAUGUGAAAUCCCCGGGCUUAACCUGGGAACUGCAUUUGUGACUGGCGAGCUAGAGUAUGGCAGAGGGGGGUGGAAUUCCACGUGUAGCAGUGAAAUGCGUAGAGAUGUGGAGGAACACCGAUGGCGAAGGCAGCCCCCUGGGCCAAUACUGACGCUCAUGCACGAAAGCGUGGGGAGCAAACAGGAUUAGAUACCCCUGUAGUCCCUGUCUCUUAUAC
rnacentral:rRNA from 1 species